UACAGAGGGUGCAAGCGUUAAUCGGAAUUACUGGGCGUAAAGCGUGCGCAGACGGUUGCGUAAGUCAGAUGUGAAAUCCCCGGGCUCAACCUGGGAACUGCAUUUGUGACUGCAUAGCUAGAGUACGGUAGAGGGGGAUGGAAUUCCGCGUGUAGCAGUGAAAUGCGUAGAUAUGCGGAGGAACACCGAUGGCGAAGGCAAUCCCCUGGACCUGUACUGACGCUCAUGCCCGAAAGCGUGGGGAGCAAACAGG
rnacentral:rRNA from 1 species